rfam:Enterococcus villorum ATCC 700913 genomic scaffold acvIF-supercont1.6, whole genome shotgun sequence.
UAAGGCUUUCGCUUCCUUUCUGAUUGAUUCCAGAAACUUUAAUCAUACAUGGACGAGUACUUUUUGUAC